rnacentral:rRNA from 1 species
GAUGAACGCUGGCGGCGUGCCUAAUACAUGCAAGUCGAGCGAACAGACGAGGAGCUUGCUCCUCUGACGUUAGCGGCGGACGGGUGAGUAACACGUGGAUAACCUACCUAUAAGACUGGGAUAACUUCGGGAAACCGGAGCUAAUACCGGAUAAUAUAUUGAACCGCAUGGUUCAAUAGUGAAAGACGGUUUUGCUGUCACUUAUAGAUGGAUCCGCGCCGCAUUAGCUAGUUGGUAAGGUAAAGGCUUACCAAGGCAACGAUGCGUAGCCGACCGGAGAGAGGGAUCGGCCACACGGGAACUGGGACACGGUCCAGACUCCUACGGGACGCAGCAGAAGGGAAUCUUCCGCAAUGGGCGAAAGCCUGACGGAGCAACGCCGCGUGAGUGAUGAAGGUCUUCGGAUCGUAAAACUCUGUUAUUAGGGAAGAACAAAUGUGUAAGUAACUAUGCACGUCUUGACGGUACCUAAUCAGAAAGCCACGGCUAACUACGUG